UACGGAGGGUGCGAGCGUUGUCCGGAAUCACUGGGCGUAAAGGGCGCGUAGGUGGCGCGAGUAGUCAACGGUGAAAGCCCGGGGCUCAACCCCGGGUCGGCCGUCGAUACUCUCGUGCUUGAGCACUGUAGAGGCAGGUGGAAUUCCGGGUGUAGCGGUGGAAUGCGUAGAGAUCCGGAAGAACACCGGUGGCGAAGGCGGCCUGCUGGGCAGUG
rnacentral:rRNA from 1 species